AGGGGGAAGAUAAGGGAAAAGACCUGUGAAUCUUUACAGCUGAGCCUAAUAACAGAACAGCUGUACUUAUUUAUUUAUUUGUUUGUUCAUUUAUUCAACAAAGGAUAUGGGAACAGGUAUAUUGGAGAGGUUGCUGGGGAGUAUUUUUCUUUCUUUUUUUUCCCCAGUGGUUUAGAUAUAGCAUAAAGAUGAAGUUUGAGUCAGGAGAUAUUUCUGAAAUAAUAAUAAUAGCUGUCUUCUAGAAAACCUGUUUCCUUCUGUGCUGAGUUUUUCCUUCAGACUAAGGAGCUUAACUGUAGGAGAGGGAAGGUGCUUUCAAAAGCAGAACUUACGCAACAUCAGGGUUUGUCACUUCUAUUCAAGAGCAAUGGGAGUUCUGGAUGUCUUAUAAAGUACGAGAGCACCUUCAGAAUUGACUACAGUGGAUGGAAGUUGCUGCUUAUGUGGUGAAUGUGAAGAACUGGCUGCUCAAAUACAUCAGAGAAGUGUGGACCCCACAAAAUACUGCUUAUGGACAUGGUCAGAGAUACCUUAUUCCCAGCCUGUAGCAAGAAGGAGAACUGCUUUUUCCCAUUUCAGGUUAGAACAUGCCUGCAACUUCAUCAUCCUGAGGCUGGACUGGGAGCAGGUCAUCAGUGGUGUGUGGGACUAAGAGCUUCUCUAAGGUGCAUUGUAAUUAACCAUAGGGGAAAAGCACUGGAGAACAAGGGUUUGAACCAGCAGGAAUAUUUCAGUUUUAUGGUGCAUUGCAGUCUAUGUUAAAGUGUCUUUCCUCAUAAACAACAAAAAUAAGGUAAAACUCGCUGUCGUAGUUUUAGGGACAGUUUUAUUGUUUGGGCAAUAAACAAAUGCUGAUCUUUCUAGUGACA
rnacentral:lncRNA from 1 species